UACAGAGGUGGCAAGCGUUGUUCGGAAUUACUGGGCGUAAAGGGCGCGUAGGCGGUCUUGUAAGUUCCGUGUGAAAUCCCUCGGCUCAACUGAGGAACCGCACGGAAAACUGCUUGGCUUGAGUUCGGGAGAGGGAAGCGGAAUUCCGGGUGUAGCGGCGAAAUGCGUAGAUAUCCGGAGGAACACCGGUGGCGAAGGCGGCUUCCUGGACCGACACUGACGCUGAGGCGCGAAAGCUAGGGGAGCAAACGGG
rnacentral:rRNA from 1 species